GGCGCGCGCGCGGCGGGGGCGCGCGGGGAGGCGGGAGCGCGCCCGUCCGUCAGCACGUGCCGGGGGCGGGAGCGCUGGAGCGGCUCCGCGGCGAGGAAAAGUUGGCCGGGAGGAACCGGCCGGGCUCGCUCUGCCUCCCCCGCAGCCCCUCCGCGGCCCCGCCGCCUGAGCGGGCCUGUCUCCGAGCGCCCGGGCCCGGGCGUUAUCCCGCCCCGCCGCCCAGCAGGGCUCUCCUGGGGAAGCAGCUCCUGUAGGGAAGGGCAGGAAGGUGUGAGAGCAGGACGCGGCCAGGUCGCUGUCUCGGAAGCGCUGCUGGCCGAGAAGGGGCAUCGAGGCACGAAAAGAAGCCGCGGCUGGAUUUGGCUGCAGGGCCGGGGAGCUCCAUCCAGAUGCUGGUGGAGUUGGCGCCAUGGAAAACGGGGCAGCUGCCAGGAUUCACGGAAGAACUUCUGAACAGAGAGCAGCUUCUGGGACUGCUUAGGAGAUCAAUGAAGGCUCCAACAACCACUAGCCAUAUAAGUCUAUAAAAGGUGCAAAAUGUGGUUUGUAAUUUCUGAGAAAGAUGAUCCCCACCUGUCCCAUGUCACAGUGCUUCUUGAAGUCUGCAUUAGAAAGAAAUGUCUAAUAAACCCACUUAGUUGAAGCCUCCACAGUCAUCACCUGCUCAAACAGCGUACAAAUUUCAUGUUUUUGAGUUACAUCCAGGAUCUUGGACUGAAAACUACAAGUCUGGUCAUGAGUAUUCCUUCAGUAUCAGUGGCCAAUACCGGGGCGAUACAUAACGACAGGAAUCUGCAAUCAGGAUGAGGAGGAUGUUCUGCUAUUCCACUUACUGUACUCCGUUCCAGUCAUCUGGGCAAGGAUGCGGAAGGACUUGGACUGCAGGUUGGCGGAGCGGCGGCUCCAGUCCUCGCUCUCAUCCUCGGGCUUGUUCUGAGUUUUCAGCACAGCCUGAUACACCGGGGAGGCACUGUCUACGUGAGGGUCUUUGAGAGGGAGGGUACUGCAAUUCAGAAAGUGAAACGUUGUGAAACAGCACAUGGUGGCUUUCCUCCCAACCUCUCUGGUCUCAGUUUAUCACCCAGAGUAACAGCAAUCCACAACAUGGCUUUGAAAUUACCACUUCUUCAAAAAUACAUUGAUCAAUUUUAUGUUAUGGCUCAUUCUAUCUUUAGAAUGGCCUGUUAUCAUCAAAUCUGCAUAUUCAAAACAGCAUGAAAAUGCUUGGAAAUAUCUGUUUAUGAUUCCUCAGCCAAGGAAGCCACAAGCUUACAGUGGUUAGAAUAACGUGUGGUGAUAAAGGCGAGUAUGCCAGGCAAAAACAUUUAUUUCUCUGAGAAUUCCUGUCCCCCAUUAUUUCUUAUAAAAAUUACUUCAUGUAGAUACUGUUUUAUGCUACUUCUUUAAAUUACAGUGUUGGGCCAAUGCGCUUUGAGAUUGUACUUAGAAAUAAAAACCAUAUUUCAUUAUAAAAAUAAUGUGGUAGGCUUUUAUAGCUCUUUCUAGAGAUGAUUCUCUGUCAAACUCUGAAUUAAACUUCCAUCUGCCAUAA